rnacentral:rRNA from 1 species
UACGUAGGGGCAAGCGUUGUCCGGAAUCAUUGGGCGUAAAGAGCGUGUAGGCGGCUUGGUAAGUCUCGCGUGAAAUCUUGCGGCUCAACCGCAAGCUGUCGUGAGAAACUACCGUGGCUAGAAUCCGGAAGAGGAGAGCGGAAUUCCUGGUGUAGCGGUGGAAUGCGCAGAUAUCAGGAAGAACACCCGUGGCGAAGGCAGCUCGCUGGGACGGUACUGACGCUGGAGGAGCGAAAGCGUGGGGAGCGAACAGG